UACGGAGGGUGCAAGCGUUAAUCGGAAUUACUGGGCGUAAAGGGCUCGUAGGCGGCCAACUAAGUCAGACGUGAAAUCCCUCGGCUUAACCGGGGAACUGCGUCUGAUACUGGAUGGCUUGAGGUUGGGAGAGGGAUGCGGAAUUCCAGGUGUAGCAGUGAAAUGCGUAGAUAUCAUGAGGAAUACCAGAGGCGAAGGCGGCUACCUGGACAAUUGCUGACGCUCAGGCACGAAAGCGUGGGGAGCAAAAGGG
rnacentral:rRNA from 1 species